GCCUUCUUAGCUCAGUGGUAGAGCGUUGCACUUGUACGAAAGAAAAUGCAAAGGUCAGUCGUUCAAUCCGGCUAGGAGGCA